UACGAAGGGUGCAAGCGUUACUCGGAAUUACUGGGCGUAAAGCGUGCGUAGGUGGUUUGUUAAGUCUGUUGUGAAAGCCCCGGGCUCAACCUGGGAAUGGCAAUGGAUACUGGCAAGCUAGAGUGCGGUAGAGGGUAGUGGAAUUCCCGGUGUAGCGGUGAAGUGCGUAGAGAUCGGGAGGAACACCAGUGGCGAAGGCGGCUACCUGGACCAGCACUGACACUGAGGCACGAAAGCGUGGGGAGCAAACAGG
rnacentral:rRNA from 1 species